UCGUGCGUGGCGAGGAACGCGGUGCCGAGCUGGGCGGCGCUCGCGCCGGCCGCGAGCACCCCGGCGAUCUGGCCGCCGCGCAUGAU
rnacentral:tRNA from 1 species